rnacentral:rRNA from 1 species
UACGUAGGGGGCAAGCGUUGUCCGGAAUCAUUGGGCGUAAAGCGCGUGUAGGCGGUUCGAUAAGUCUGCUGUGAAAGUCCAGGGCUCAACCCUGGGAUGCCGGUGGAUACUGUCGGGCUAGAGUACGGAAGAGGCGAGUGGAAUUCCCGGUGUAGCGGUGAAAUGCGCAGAUAUCAGGAGGAACACCGGUGGCGAAGGCGGGUCUCUGGGCCGAUACUGACGCUGAGGAGCGAAAGCGUGGGGAGCGAACAGG